rnacentral:tRNA from 1 species
AGAAAUGUAGCUCAGUAGUAGAACACUUGUCUGGCAUUUGGGAGGCCCUGGGUUCAAUCCCCAGCAUGNCAA